UACGGGGGGGGCAAGCGUUGUUCGGAAUUACUGGGCGUAAAGGGCUCGUAGGCGGCCAACUAAGUCAUACGUGAAAUCCCUCGGCUUAACCGGGGAACUGCGUCUGAUACUGGAUGGCUUGAGAUUGGGAGAGGGAUGCGGAAUUCCAGGUGUAGCGGUGAAAUGCGCAGAUAUCAGGAGGAACACCGGUGGCGAAGGCGGUUCUCUGGGCAUGAUCUGACGCUGAGGAGCGAAAGUGUGGGGAGCGAACAGG
rnacentral:rRNA from 1 species